AUUGAACGCUGGCGGCAGGCCUAACACAUGCAAGUCGAGCGGAAACGAGUUGUCUGAACUUCGGGGAACGAUAACGGCGUCGAGCGGCGGACGGGUGAGUAAUGCCUAGGAAAUUGCCCUGAUGUGGGGGAUAACCAUUGGAAACGAUGGCUAAUACCGCAUGAUGCCUACGGGCCAAAGAGGGGGACCUUCGGGCCUCUCGCGUCAGGAUAUGCCUAGGUGGGAUUAGCUAGUUGGUGAGGUAAGGGCUCACCAAGGCGACGAUCCCUAGCUGGUCUGAGAGGAUGAUCAGCCACACUGGAACUGAGACACGGUCCAGACUCCUACGGGAGGCAGCAGUGGGGAAUAUUGCACAAUGGGCGCAAGCCUGAUGCAGCCAUGCCGCGUGUGUGAAGAAGGCCUUCGGGUUGUAAAGCACUUUCAGUCGUGAGGAAGGUGGUAGUGUUAAUAGCACUAUCAUUUGACGUUAGCGACAGAAGAAGCACCGGCUAACUCCGUGCCAGCAGCCGCGGUAAUACGGAGGGUGCGAGCGUUAAUCGGAAUUACUGGGCGUAAAGCGCAUGCAGGUGGUUUGUUAAGUCAGAUGUGAAAGCCCGGGGCUCAACCUCGGAAUUGCAUUUGAAACUGGCAGACUAGAGUACUGUAGAGGGGGGUAGAAUUUCAGGUGUAGCGGUGAAAUGCGUAGAGAUCUGAAGGAAUACCGGUGGCGAAGGCGGCCCCCUGGACAGAUACUGACACUCAGAUGCGAAAGCGUGGGGAGCAAACAGG
rnacentral:rRNA from 1 species